rnacentral:rRNA from 1 species
UACGUAGGGUGCAAGCGUUGUCCGGAAUUAUUGGGCGUAAAGAGCUCGUAGGCGGUCUGUCGCGUCGGCUGUGAAAUCCCGAGGCUCAACCUCGGGUCUGCAGUCGAUACGGGCAAACUAGAGUAUUGCAGGGGAGACUGGAAUUCCUGGUGUAGCGGUGAAAUGCGCAGAUAUCAGGAGGAACACCGGUGGCGAAGGCGGGUCUCUGGGCAAUAACUGACGCUGAGACGCGAAAGCGUGGGGAGCGAACAGG